CUGGCCGUGACAGAUGGAUAACCGGGAGAAAUCCCGCCUAAUACAACAUAAUGCCGGGAGGGGACAUCCCCUGCCGGCCAAAGGGGGCGACCCCGGUCACGGAUGGGCAUGCGGCGCAUUAGGUAGUUGGUGGGGCAACGGCCCACCAAGCCGACGAUGCGUAGGGGUUCUGAGAGGAAGGUCCCCCACAUUGGAACUGAGACACGGUCCAAACUCCUACGGGAGGCAGCAGUGAGGAAUAUUGGUCAAUGGCCGGAAGGCUGAACCAGCCAAGUCGCGUGAGGGAAUAAGGCCCUACGGGUCGUAAACCUCUUUUGCCAGGGAGCAAUGCCGUCCACGUGUGGACGGAAGGAGAGUACCUGGAGAAAAAGCAUCGGCUAACUCCGUGCCAGCAGCCGCGGUAAUACGGAGGAUGCGAGCGUUAUCCGGAUUUAUUGGGUUUAAAGGGUGCGUAGGCGGCCUGCCAAGUCAGCGGUAAAAUUGCGGGGCUCAACCCCGUACAGCCGUUGAAACUGCCGGGCUCGAGUGGGCGAGAAGUAUGCGGAAUGCGUGGUGUAGCGGUGAAAUGCAUAGAUAUCACGCAGAACCCCGAUUGCGAAGGCAGCAUACCGGCGCCCGACUGACGCUGAGGCACGAAAGUGCGGGGAUCAAACAGGAUUAGAUACCCUGGUAGUCCGCACAGUAAACGAU
rnacentral:rRNA from 1 species